UUGCUUUGGCAGCCUAUACACUAAAAUUGGAAUGAGAUAAAGAAGAUUAGCAUGCCUCCUAUACAAGGAUGACACACAAAUUCGCAAAGUGUUCCAUAAUUUU
rnacentral:snRNA from 1 species